UACGUAGGGUGCAAGCGUUGUCCGGAAUUAUUGGGCGUAAAGAGCUCGUAGGCGGUUUGUCACGUCGGUUGUGAAAACCUGGGGCUCAACCCCGGGCCUGCAAUCGAUACGGGCAGACUAGAAUUCGGUAGGGGAGACUGGAAUUCCUGGUGUAGCGGUGAAAUGCGCAGAUAUCAGGAGGAACACCGAUGGCGAAGGCAGGUCUCUGGGCCGAUAUUGACGCUGAGGAGCGAAAGCAUGGGGAGCAAACAGG
rnacentral:rRNA from 1 species